rnacentral:lncRNA from 10 species
GUCAGCAAGAAGUAGAGUCUGUUUCCUCACCUCUUGAAUCUAAACUAACCUUGUGACUUGCUUUGACCAAAGGAAUGGAGCAGAAGUCAUAUUCUUCUGAGCCAGGCCUCAAGAUGCCUUGCAGCUUCUACCUUUAGCCCUUAGCCUCUUGGAAUGUGUUACUGCCCUUGAAGCAGCUCAGCUAGCUUGCUGGAGGAUGAGACCGCAUGAAGCAGGAGGAAGCUGUCCCAGCUGGGUCCCCUAGGCCAACCAGCUCUAAGGGGAGUCAAGAGAUGACUGCAAAGAGAUGACUGCAGCUCCUUGGGCAACCCUGGGGCCAACCACUGUCAGAAGAACCACACAGCCAAAACCAGCCCAAAUUCC